rnacentral:rRNA from 1 species
GAACGAACGCUGGCGGCAGGCUUAACACAUGCAAGUCGAACGAUAUAGUGGCAGACGGGUGAGUAACGCGUGGAAACGUGCCUUUCACUACGGAAUAGCUUUUGGAAACGAAAGGUAAUACCGUAUACGCCCUCCGGGGGAAAGAUUUAUCGGUGAAAGAUCGGUCCGCGUUAGAUUAGCUAGUUGGUGAGGUAACGGCUCACCAAGGCUACGAUCUAUAGCUGGUCUGAGAGGAUGAUCAGCCACACUGGGACUGAGACACGGCCCAGACUCCUACGGGAGGCAGCAGUGGGGAAUAUUGCACAAUGGGCGCAAGCCUGAUGCAGCCAUGCCGCGUGAAUGAUGAAGGCCUUAGGGUUGUAAAAUUCUUUCGCCAGGGAUGAUAAUGACAGUACCUGGUAAAGAAGCCCCGGCUAACUUCGUGCCAGCAGCCGCGGUAAUACGAAGGGGGCUAGCGUUGUUCGGAAUUACUGGGCGUAAAGCGCACGUAGGCGGACUUUUAAGUCAGAUGUGAAAUCCCGAGGCUCAACCUCGGAACUGCAUUUGAAACUGGGAGUCUAGAGAUCAGGAGAGGUUAGCGGAAUACCGAGUGUAGAGGUGAAAUUCGUUAGAUAUUCGGUGGAACACCAGUGGCGAAGGCGGCUAACUGGACUGAUACUGACGCUGAGGUGCGAAAGUGUGGGGAGCAAACAGGAUUAGAUACCCUGGUAGUCCACACCGUAAACGAUGAGUGCUAGUUGUCUGCAGGCAUGCCUGUAGGUGACGCAGCUAACGCAUUAAGCACUCCGCCUGGGGAGUACGGCCGCAAGGUUAAAACUCAAAGAAAUUGACGGGGGCCCGCACAAGCGGUGGAGCAUGUGGUUUAAUUCGAAGCAACGCGCAGAACCUUACCUACGCUUGACAUGCCCGGACGAUUUCCAGAGAUGGAUCUCUCCCUUCGGGGCCGGUGCACAGGUGCUGCAUGGCUGUCGUCAGCUCGUGUCGUGAGAUGUUGGGUUAAGUCCCGCAACGAGCGCAACCCUCAUCCUUAGUUGCCAUCACGUUUGGGUGGGCACUCUAGGGAAACUGCCGGUGCUAAGCCGGAGGAAGGCGGGGAUGACGUCAAGUCCUCAUGGCCCUUACGCGUAGGGCUACACACGUGCUACAAUGGCAGUGACAAUGGGAUAAUCCCCAAAAGCUGUCUCAGUUCGGAUUGUCGGCUGCAACUCGCCGGCAUGAAGUUGGAAUCGCUAGUAAUCGUGGAUCAGCAUGCCACGGUGAAUACGUUCCCGGGCCUUGUACACACCGCCCGUCACACCAUGGGAGUUGGAUCUACCCGAAGAUUGUGAGCUAACUUCGGAGGCAGCAAGCCACGGUAGGUUCAGCGACUGGGGU